GAGUACCUAGAAUAUGGGAGAGGUAGAUGGAAUUUCUGGUGUAGGGGUAAAAUCCGUAGAGAUCAGAAGGAAUACCGAUUGCGAAGGCGAUCUACCGGAACAUUAUUGACGCUGAGACGCGAAAGCGUGGGGAGCAAACAGGAUUAGAUACCCUGGUAGUCCACGCCCUAAACGAUGUACAUUAGUUGUUGCUAUGCUAGACAUAGCAGUAAUGCAGUUAACACAUUAAAUGUACCGCCUGGGGAGUACGGUCGCAAGAUUAAAACUCAAAGGAAUAGACGGGGACCCGCACAAGCGGUGGAGCAUGUGGCUUAAUUCGACGAUACGCGAAGAACCUUACCUGGCCUUGACAUAGAAAGAAUUUAGCAGAGAUGUAAAAGUGCUAGUUUACUAGAGCUUUCAUACAGGUGCUGCACGGCUGUCGUCAGCUCGUGUCGUGAGAUGUUAGGUUAAGUCCUGCAACGAGCGCAACCCUCGUCACUAGUUACUAACGGUUCGGCCGAGGACUCUAGUGAGACUGCCUUCGCAAGGAGGAGGAAGGUGAGGACGACGUCAAGUCAUCAUGGCCCUUACGGCUAGGGCAACACACGUGCUACAAUGGCCAGGACAAUGAGACGCGAUACCGCGAGGUGGAGCAAAUCUAUAAACCUGGUCUCAGUUCGGACUGUAGUCUGCAACUCGACUACAUGAAGCUGGAAUCACUAGUAAUCG
rnacentral:rRNA from 1 species